rnacentral:lncRNA from 1 species
GAAAGUGCCGACAAACAUUAAUGGAGGCCACGUGAAGUUUUGGAAUCUGGGAAAGAAAAAGAGAAUAUGGGGAUCCGAAAAGAUAUUGGGAUCCUGAAAAACUGUAGCCAUAUUUCCUCCUAUAGAUAUUGCUUUUGCAAAACUUGAUUGGAGCAACUGCGUUUCAACUUAACUUCCUUCAUUUUCUGAAACUUUAGUUUUCUUAAGACUUUCUUCGAAACCUUCUUAAAAUGGCUUCCUCUUCUUC